UUUUUUUUUUUUUUUUUUGAGACUGAGUCUCACUCUGUUGCCCAGGCUAGAGUGCAGUGUUGGUUGUCUUUCUGGACUGGGUUGUGUCAUUGGUUGAUUUUCAGAAGCUUGAUAGUGUGAUUCGUCUGCUACCUUUCAAAAGUGUGAUACCUGAGUGAGGCUGUCACAGAUAGGCUGAUUUUUCAGAGCAUGUGUAUUGAUCCAUAGUUAUCUCAAAUUAAUUGGAGUUAGUUGUUUAGGACUUUGUCAAAAGAACAGUCUUUUCUAUUCUUGAAUUUGAAAAAAUAAGAACUUUAAAUUCUAAGUGCCACCUAUUGGUCUUCCUUUAGCCAAACCUGCAGAGACACCAUAGACCAGUGAUCCCCAACCUUUUUGGCACCAGGGGCCAGUUUCAUGGAAGACAAUGUUUUCACAGACGGGGAUGCAGGGUGAAGGGGUGGAGGUGGGAAUUUUAAUUAGAUUCUCACAAGGGAUAUGCAACCUAGAUCCCUCACAUGCACAGUUCACAAUAGCGCUUGUGCUCCUAAGAUAGUCUAAUGCUACCCUGAUCUGAUAGGAGACGGAGCGUAGGUGGUAAUGCUUGCUUGCCAGCACUCACCUCCUGCCGUGCUGCCAGGUUCCUAACAGGCCAUGGACCAGUACCAUUCUGCAGCCUGGGAUUUUGGGACCCCUGUCAUAGAUAUUGUUUAGGUCUCUAUUCGUGGAGGUAUGAUUUUUCAGUUAAUGUUGCCAUUUAAAUGAGUUAAGAGCCAGUUCCUGUGAUGGAAAAAUAGCCCUAACUGCUAAAUUGUAUUAGUUCAUUGAAAAAAAAAAAAAAAAGCUGAGCACGGAUCAUUUAGGGUAUUGUGACAAAGUCAAAAGGUGAUGCAGGACAAAAAUCAUUAUAUGCAGGACAUGUCCUGUAUGUAUAGAAUCUUGGAAACUUUAUUAGUGAUGUCUCUCACACUACUAAUACAUCUGAAAAGCACCUACUCAGAGCUUGUAGGUGUUUCUUGGAUGUAUAUUUUAACAGUGAAUUAUCAAGACAGCACAACUUCACAACUGCUCAGCAUUUUCAGGAAAAAAGAGUCACAUUCUGUGGACAAAGUGUGGUCAAGAUCCCAAUACAACCACGUGCUUAACUUCAUUCUUUCACUUUUCAUACUUUAGUAUUCAGGCUCAAACUUUACUGAGAUCUUAACUUUGUCCAUCUAUCACAGAUAAUUCCUCGGAGUAAUGUCUUUCAUUAUCUUCAAAUAACUACAGAAUCAUUAUUAAUAGCUUUCAGGAUUUUUCCCCCCCGGGAUAAUCUCACCUCCUAAUACAGACACCGUACCUACAAUGACAGAUUAAAUGGUAAUGGCACUGUGUUUUGCAGUGGUGGAUACACUCACUGAUUACCUAGGCAGGAAGAGUUUUCUGAGGAAAUCUGUCCACUGGUUUCAGGGAGACUCCACAUCAUCCCUCUUCCUUCUUCCACUGCAAGGCCUUGUUUGGAGUAUUUUCUCUUCCCUCUCUGACCAAACUGAAGCUCACAAAAGUUCCCGUAAAGCUUGAGUGCACCCGUACUUGCAAAGCAACAAGAUAAUAGUUAUUAGCUCCUAGCUAUGAGUGUAGGCAAAGAGACAUUGUGUUGUGGUUUGUCUAUUUAGUUUUGCAGCUUUGGGGAACAUCUGAAAUGUCUCCACAUUUCUGCGACCAGUGCAGACUACCCUCCGGGGAGUCUAGGUCCAGGCCUUUUCAGAGGACGGAAGUCGGGCUGGACGCCGUGGCUCACUCCCGUAAUCCCAGCACUUUAGGAGGCCGAAGCAGGCGGAUCCCAAGGUCAGGAGUACAGCCUGGCCAAUGUGGUGAAAUUCCGUCUCUACUAAAAGUACUAAAAUUAGCCGGGCGUGGUGGCGGGCCCCUGUAGUCCCAACUACUCAGGAGGGUGAGGCAGGAAAAUCGCUUGAACCCGGGAGGCGGAGGUUGCAGUGAGCCGAGAACGCGCCACUGCACUGCAGCCUGGGAGACACAGC
ensembl:lncRNA